rnacentral:ribozyme from 1 species
UGCCGAGCAACUCCUAUCUCUAACUCCUCGCGGCACUGGCCGGGGUAUGAGUAGCCUUAGGGAAAAUCGGGUAACCAACCACGGUGGGAACUUUGGUCGUAUGCUGACAGGGAAGG